UCCCUGAUGGCUCAGAUGGUAAAGAAUCUGCCUGCAAAGCAGGAGAUGCAGGUUCGAUCCCUGGGUUGGGAA
rnacentral:tRNA from 1 species